CGGAAGAAUUGGAUUCUAGAGACAUGAAGUGCUUGCCUGGUUGAUUACCUCUAGCCACUGCUCCCCUUGGCCACAGUGGGGCAGUGACUCAGAGCUGGAACUGUGUUCCUGCCUGGUUGCCAGAUUUUGUGUGGGGGGUGGAGAGGAACGAGAAUGAAUGAGCAGGAACAAGUGGCUGCUGGAUUUGUAACACCUUGGGAGGCAGCUGCUCAAGAACCGAAAUUGAGAGACAGCAGGCAGGCUGGGAGUCUCCCUCCCUGUCUGACCUGAACCUAAGAUUUAAUAAGGUGGUGCAGCUGGGGAAGACACUAUCCGAACGUGGAGCCCAAAGGGAGGCCAUAACCAGCAGACCACAGCAUUCAGGCAUCCUGUGACGGGACAGUUUUCUCCAGAAAAUAGUGAAUUCAUUCUUCAAGAAGAGCCGAAUCCACAUAUGUCGAAGCAAGACAGAAACCAAAGACCGUCCAGCAUGGUCAGUGAAACAUCCACGGCUGGGACCGCCUCCACCCUGGAGGCCAAGCCUGGACCCAAGUUUUGUGAGAGAGACCCAUAAGAAGUGUUCUCCCCAAAUGACAGAUCAGGAAACUGAGGCCAAGAGGGAUAUGUCCCUUGUCCAGCAGAACAGAUCAUAAAGUCCAGCAGUAAAGUCCACAGCUUUGGGAAGAGAGACCAGGCCAUUCGGAGGAACCCCAAUGUUCCCGUGGUGGUGAGGGGCUGGCUGCACAAGCAG
rnacentral:lncRNA from 10 species